rnacentral:tRNA from 1 species
CGGGACGUAGCAUAGCUGGUCCAGUGCGCCGGGCUGGGGGUCCGGAGAUCGGCAGUUCGAAUCUGCCCGUCCCGACCA